rnacentral:rRNA from 1 species
AACGCACCUUGCGCUCCUUGGUAUUCCGAGGAGCAUGCCUGUUUGAGUGUCAUGAAAUCAUCAACCAACGCCUUGGUUUUCAAUCAAGGUGUCUGGCUUGGACUUGGGUGUCUUGCCUUGACUCUUGUCUGAAGGCUCACCUUGAAAGUGUUAGUGGAUCCCGUCGACCGUGACAUGGUUUGACUUGGCGUGAUAAGUAUUUCGCUGAGGACAUCCCCCGUGGAUGGCCAUGUUGCUUGACUUAGUGUCUGCUCCCUAAACCCCUCUCCUCCGGGAGAACUUCUUUGACAUCUGGCCUCAAAUCAGGUAGGACUACCCGCUGAACUUAA